rnacentral:rRNA from 1 species
UACGAAGGGGGCUAGCGUUGCUCGGAAUCACUGGGCGUAAAGCGCACGUAGGCGGAUUGCUAAGUCAGGGGUGAAAUCCUGGAGCUCAACUCCAGAACUGCCCUUGAUACUGGCGGUCUCGAGUCCGGGAGAGGUGAGUGGAACUGCGAGUGUAGAGGUGAAAUUCGUAGAUAUUCGCAAGAACACCAGUGGCGAAGGCGGCUCACUGGCGCGGUACUGACGCUGAGGUGCGAAAGCGUGGGGAGCAAACAGG